rnacentral:rRNA from 1 species
CACGGACCGCACGAACGUUAUUCGGAAUCACUGGGCUUAAAGGGUGCGUAGGCGGCCUAGCAAGUUGGGUGUGAAAGCCCUCGGCUCAACCGAGGAAUUGCGCUCAAUACUGUUGGGCUCGAGAGAGACAGAGGUAAGCGGAACUAAUGGUGGAGCGGUGAAAUGCGUUGAUAUCAUUAGGAACACCGGUGGCGAAGGCGGCUUACUGGGUCUUUUCUGACGCUGAGGCACGAAAGCCAGGGGAGCGAACGGG